GUGUUCUUAAGACUAGCAUAUGUAGCCCAUGUGGUCUUUAUUUUAUUAAUUUUACCAAAAUCUGAUUUUCUAUCUUUAUUUUCUUAAUCUGAGAACGUUCUGGGCACAGACAUUUAUUUUGGUAGUUGCGCUACUUCCUGUCUGCUCGCGGCAUUCCCUUCAGUCUCUGGGGGAACGGCCGAGAGGAGGUUGUGCAGACAGUGAGACCAGAAGUGAUUUUUUUUUGUGUGUGUGUGCUGUAUGUGUUUUCACAGGUAUGUGAGCAUUUAUUUUGGAUAGAAAUAUUUUAUUAUCCUUUGCUUUUUCUUAUUUUAUUCAUAUUUACUUUCAGUAUAUUGUAAUGUACAGUUUUGUUAUUUACUUCAAUAUUUUGUGAUUUAAAAAAAUAUAAAUAUGCCAUUUGCUGAAAAAAAAAUGUUAAAGACUUUAAACUAUAUGAUCACACUGUAAAUUUUAUUUAAUGUAAUUUUGAAAUAUGCACAAUUCAGUCUCUGGGGGAACGGCCGAGAGGAGGUUGUGCAGACAGUGAGAUCAGAAGUGUUUUUUUGUGUGCUGUAUGUGUUUUCACAGUAAACCCUCAGUUUUUGUGGCAAUCCCUGUGUGAGACUCGUUUCUUAAAAACACAACGCAGACAAAUCUGGCCGGCGCUGUCAAGCAGCAAGAGAGCGACCGGCUACACAUACAAAAAGAAAAAAAAAAAAAACGCGUGUAGAAACACAAUGAAAGGAAACGUGUACAGAAACACACGUGCUAAAAAGACAAGCCUGUUCUUUUUUUAUUCCCAUUUUUAUACUUUAGUUAUUUAUUUUUUACUUUCCUUUUUAUUAUCAUUUUUCUCUUUUGGCAUUAGGCUUAAAACAGCCUGAUAUCAAAGAUAUCAAUCAAAUAUUAAAAAGGCUUACCACAGUUCUACCUGCUUUAACAGCUUCUAGUACCGCCGUCACCCAAAACCUGCAGCAGUUCUGGCUGAGAGCUUAGCUCUGAUAGAGAACGCCUCAAAGUGCACAUGAAGCUCACAUUGCUACUUUGAGGCGCCCUCUUCAGGCUCCAGCCAGAACUGCUGCAGAAGAAGUCCCUGCUCCAGAGAAAGCAAGGACAAAAC